rnacentral:rRNA from 1 species
UACGAAGGGGGCUAGCGUUGUUCGGAAUCACUGGGCGUAAAGCGUACGUAGGCGGAUCUUUAAGUCAGGGGUGAAAUCCCGAGGCUCAACCUCGGAACUGCCUUUGAUACUGGGGAUCUCGAGUCCGGGAGAGGUGAGUGGAACUGCGAGUGUAGAGGUGAAAUUCGUAGAUAUUCGCAAGAACACCAGUGGCGAAGGCGGCUCACUGGCCCGGAACUGACGCUGAGGUGCGAAAGCGUGGGGAGCAAACAGG